CACGUCAUCAUGUACCCAUUUGUCCGUUCUGUUAUAAUGAUCACACACUGUAAAAGCUAUAUAUUUGCAUAAAAGUUUUUUUUUUUUUUUUUUUUUCUUUGUGAGACAGGGUUUCACUGUUUUUCAGGCUGGCCUUGAACUCACUAUGUAGCCCAGGCUGCCCUGGAACUCUCUGCCAUCCUCCUGCCUCAGUCUAUCAACUGCUGGGAUUACAAGUGUGUACCACGGGGCUGGGGAUUUAGCUCAGCGGCAUAAGCGCCUGCCUUGCAAGCAGGCAGUCGUGAGUUCAAUCCCUGGUACCGAUAAAAAGGAAAAAGACAAAACAAACAAACAAAAAAAACAAGUGUGUACCACUAUACCAGGUACUGGGAUUACAAGUGGGUGUUACCAUGCUAGAUAAGAAAUAUUAUUCUUUAAAAUUAUAUAGUUCGCCAGGUAUAGUGGCACAUGCCUGUAAUACCAGCACUUAGGAGGCUGAGGCAGGAGGAUGAGAGUUUGAGGGCAGCCUGGGCUACACAGCGAAUUCAAGGCCAGCCUGGAUUGCAGAGCAAGAACCUGUCUAAAAAAAGAAAAAUCACAAAAAAAUUAAAAAUUUUGCAUAUGUGUAUGUAUCUGUAUGGAACUAUAACCAUUAUAAAAGACAAACUGCCCGUUUCUUCUUCUUCUUCUUCUUCUUCUUCUUCUUCUUCUUCUUCUUCUUCUUCUUCUUCUUCUUCUUCUUCUUCUUUUGUCUUUUUUGAGACAGGGUCUCGCUAUGCAGUUCAGGCUGGCCUUGAGCUCACUUUGUAGCCCAGGCUGGUCUCGAAAUUGCAGGAUCCUCCCACCUCAGCCUCCGAAGUGCUGGGAAUACAGGCGUGAGCCACCAUGCCCAGCUUGCCUAUUUCUUCUUAAAAGUGAUAAUUAUAAGGAAAAUUUUAAUACUUCUUUCGCCCUCUUAUCUACACCCUUGCAUAUGUCCUGUGUAUACACCCUUCAUAAAGGGUGGCUCCUUUACAGCUUCUGGUAAUAUCUACUGAGCUCUGCCUAUUGUGGACCAUCCACCGUUAUCACUUGACCUAAUAUGUUGCUUUUCACCAUUGUCAGAACAUUCUCUGUUCUCAUUUGCUAUGGAAGGGGUUGCUUACUUCACCUGCCAAAAUCCCUGUGCGGAAGCCCUUUACCUCCACUGUGACAGGAUUGGGAGACUCGGCCUGUGGAAGAGAGCUAGAAGCUGCCUGCAGCCAUGGAAGGACACUCACAAAAGAGGACUUUGAGAGCUGCUUCAGAAAAUGGCAAGGACACUGGGAUGAAUGUGCUCAAACCUGGAGGAGUAUUUUGAGGGUAGUUGUGCUUUUCACCGUAAUAAAAAUUUAAAAUGUGUAAA